ACAUGUACGGAACCCUGGUGAGAGCCGGGGGUGCCCGAAAGGGAGCCGUAACACAGGUGCUGCAUGGCUGUCGUCAGCUCGUGUCGUGAGAUGUUGGGUUAAGUCCCGCAACGAGCGCAACCCUUGUCCCCAGUUGCUACGCAAGAGCACUCCGGGGAGACUGCCGGUGACAAACCGGAGGAAGGUGGGGAUGACGUCAAGUCCUCAUGGCCCUUAUGGGUAGGGCUUCACACGUCAUACAAUGGUCGGAACAGAGGGUUGCGAAGCCGCGAGGUGGAGCCAAUCCCAGAAAACCGAUCGUAGUCCGGAUUGCAGUCUGCAACUCGACUGCAUGAAGCUGGAAUCGCUAGUAAUCGCGGAUCAGCAUGCCGCGGUGAAUACGU
rnacentral:rRNA from 1 species